AGCCGGGUCGGGCCGUGGAAACGGAGCGUGCUGCGAAGCAGGGGGAGACGGAGCGCAAAACCCGAGGGAGAGUUCUGGGGUUCUCGGUUCAACUCCAGUCACGGAGGGGGCGGCGGCGAGGCAAGGCUGUUGGCGGGCUGAAAGGGCGGCGGGGGCGAGGGGCGGGGAGCCAGGACUGCGGCUCGGGGAACGAGAGUGGGCUGGCCGGGGCGACGGGGAAGAGCUAUUGUGAGGCGCCUGGGGCCUCCGCCGGCGGCGCGCGGCUGGGCCGCCUCCGGCCCACAAGUUCGGGUGCAGCGGUCUGGUUGUCCUGCUGUCCAUGUACAGGCUGAACACUAGAACUGCGGUGUUUGACACUUUUCGGUUGUAUUCCCACUUGGGAGCUAUGCAGAACCUUCGUAGGAAGAAGGAAUUAGAAUAAAGAGCACGGGGAUGAGUAUUAAAAGAUAGUGACUCAACUAGAUUUGGGUUGGAUCAGAACGAGUGGAGGAGGGGGAAUGAACUCGAUUUGGGGUGCCAACAUAUUUAAGGAAGUAUUUGCAUCAGUAGGUGGAGCUCUUGCUUCAGUUGUCGGAAUUGCCCCUGACUCUUUGAGGGGCUCUUGGGUUAUUCUUGUUUGUCUGAAGUCUGUUGGCAAAGUUAAGGUUCGAUCUUUCAGUCUCUGGCUUGGAUAAAAUGAAGGAUUAUUUUGGUUUAACUUUACAUUUGGAUAAAAUGUCAUCAUUAACGUAUAUACUGUUAAAAUACUAGUUACACCGCAUUGUGUAAAAAAGCAGUGCUUUAAAAAGCCAUUUUGCAGUUUGCCUUUAUAGUCUUUGGAGAAUGAAAUGGAAGCUUGUAAGCUUUCUGAGACGCUCGAGGUGGUUUUUUUCUUAUCACGAAUUGAUUAAAGAAUUGUAACUGUGCUUGAAGUUAGUAAAACUAUUCAAACUAUUCAUCAGCUAUUUUGAGAAUGAAGUAAGUCACUUUUUGGAGUGAGCUCUUGAUACCUAAAUAAGAGCUUAAAUAGUAUUUCUAUUUACCUAUAUUUGAAGGCACAUAAAAGAUUAUGAGAAAGUUUAAUUCGGUCUUAGAUCUGUUAAAUGUUUUGUUAUUCUGAUUUUUCUUUAAGUACUGCAUAUUCAUUACAAUGUUGAAUUGCCUAUCUUGAAAAUAUUUGCUGCACUUGAAUAUCGAUCCAGGAAGUUUGACUGUUUCAUAUGUUAUCCAACGUAUUUAGGGAGUCUUCGUUUUCUGAGCUAGGUCUUCGCUAUGCAGUUCAGGCUGGCAUUGGGCUCAUUUUGUAGCCCAGGCUGUUCUCAAACUUGCAAAUGAUUCUCCUGCCUCAAUCUUCCAGGUACUGGGAUUACAGGAGUAUGCCACUAUACCUGGCAUCACCCUCUAUUGGUAUCUCCAGACUAGUAGCUUUGGGGCACAAACACAAAGGAAGAGAAGGACUGCAGAUCUGCGGACCAAAGUUACAGCUCUUAAAAGAUUCAAUGAGACUUUCCCAGAGAGAGAGAUGGCUAUGCAGUAUGAAAGUACUUGGUUUUGCAUGCUAUUACUUUGCUAUAUUUUGUCUAUUAAGCUAACGUGUUAAAGACUUGCCAGAAAUAGCCAUAUAGGUGAGUUUAUCCAGUAGGGUUUCAUUAAAUUACACAGCAGUAAAAUGGUGAUGCUGUACUCUCUGAGAUGACUGGCAGCUUUCAAACACAGAAGCUCCCAUUUGCUUAAUGCAUCUGCUUACUCAGAAAGCAGAAAAUUAUGAACAACAUAAUUCAUAAAAUAUAUUUUAUGACUGUAGUUUUUUGGGAUAUAAUAUUUGCCUACUUUUGUAAGUAUUAAAGAUGUGCAAGUGGUAGUCAAAGUGUUAAUGGUCAUUUCUAUACUAUACAGGUUAUUAGGUCCUUUCUGAGAGAUAUAAUUGUCUUCAGUUUAUUGUAUCUUUUGGGGGAAAGAUAAUUAAUAGUAAUUACUAUUGAAUUGGUAAUCUGUUUCCAGUGGCAUCUUGGCUUAUGAUAUGGGAAGCUGAAAAGACCCUCGUAGGAAAUAGUAGGUGGGUUUAGGGUGCUUAGGCAGUCUUACAGUCCUGGCAGAUCCUUUGGUUCUCCUUCAAGAGUAAAGAUCCAAGACUCAUUUACUCUAGUCUUUGGUUCUUAGCAGGCUAUUGUCAUUUCCUUUGUCUUGGGGGGAACUCCCCCUUUUGGGGGGGGCAGUUACCUGGAAUCAAACUCAGGAUCUCACAUUUGUCAGGGAGGUGCCGCACCUUUGAGCCAAGUCCUGCCUCCAGGGCCACAAGUUUUUGUUCUAUUUAUAAUACCUCUUUGAGAAAGUAGUAUGGGAUAAGUGUAUUCAGAUGUUGAAAUUGUUCGGUGGCUUUACUUUAAACAUGAUGAAAGAGCCAAAAUACAGAAAAUUUAUCUUUUGCUUGUGAAUAUUAACUGUACCACAGUAUAAUCUUGUAGACUAAAACUUCUUUUGGAAUCUGAAACCUUGUGAUGACCGUGCAUUCAUGCCAUGAUAGCACUGUGUUGAUAUGCAUUAUCUAAAAUUUGUCAUUUUCUAAAUUUCUCAAUUUAUUUUUAGUUGACCAGCCUCCACUAGAGUUUUAGAUCUUAAAGUCUCAAUGUUCUGUGUUUUUUUUAUAUCUUAAAAGAGGGAUAUACACUCAGUGCUAGAGUGCAGACCUAGUUUACACGAGACUCUGACUUCAAUCCCCAGUGGUGCUAGAAAAUUUGUUUUCUUUUUACUAAACAGACUAGUCUGUGCUGACAAUAAUUAAUAGUGGGCUGCAUAAAGAGGCCCAAUCAUCUCACUAGUUAAAAUUCCAAAACUGAGCAUAGCAGCACACACUUAAAAUCUCAGCAUACGGAAGGCUGAGGCAGGAGAAUUGCUACUACUUCAAGGCCAGCCUCUCUCCCCCGACCCAAAGCAAGCCACUGAGAAGAAAUGAGAUGGAAAAAAGAAGAAUGAAGUUCAUAAGAUCCUGAAAACCAUAAUCCCAGAGGACAGUCAUCAAAGUGUAAAACUUUUCUCUAAAAGAAGUACAUGAAAAGGUGCUCAGUACUGUUUUUUAUUUAGAGACAUAAAAACCACAAGAUGCCAUUACCCACUUAAUAGAAUAGCAUACAUUUUAAAUGGUGACAAUACCAUUUGUUGGAGAUAAUGUAGAACAACCAGAAUGCUCAUACGCUUAUCGUAUAACCCAGCAUUCUCACUCCUAGUGUUAAGGAUUACUCAAAUUGUGUAUGCUCACCACAUUCCAAAAACCAAGGGAGACUUGAUGAAAAGGAAAAACAACUUUAUUUAAAGCUAGUUCCUUGGGGCUGGGGAUUUAGCUCAGUGGCAUAAGUGCCUGCCUUGCAAGCAGGCAGUCGUGAGUUCGAUCCCUGGUACCGAUAAAAACGAAAAAGACAAAAAAAUUAAAAAAAAAAAUAAAGCUAGUUCCAAGGAGACAGAGAGCUUCGUAUCAUCUCAAAUCACUAUCUCACUUGUGUUUUGGUGUGCAAGGGAUUUACAGUAAGGAACAGAGGGGUGAAGAAAUCCAGUGAGAUUAAUAGAUGUCUCCAGGCUUGUUUCAAAAUCAUCUUUCUGAGGGGCUGGGGAUUUAGCUCAGCGGCAUAAGCGCUUGCUUUUCAAGCAGGCAGUUGUGAGUUCGAUCCCUGGUACCGAUAAAAACGAAAAAAGACAAAAAAAAAAAUCAUCUUUCUGGACCCCUUUUCCCUGUGUAAACAAAGUCAGACCCUGACCUCCUGGGGCCAGAAUCUACAUAUUCUGUCUUUUUCUCCUGGGAAGCAGUUUAUGUCCUCUACAAGAGGUACUUUUAUCUUUUUUUUUUUUUUUUUUUGGUGCCGGGGAAUUUAACUUACAACCAUAGGUUUCCCAGGGAGGUGCUUAUGCCACUGAGCUAUAUCCCCAGCCCCUUAGGAGGAACUUUGGUUAGCAACUUGUUUUGUUUUGUUUAGACAGGGUUUUGCUGUAUAGUGUAGACUGGUCUUGAACUUGCUUAUAUUGCUCAGGCUGGCCUUGAACUCACAGGAGAUCCUCUGUCUCCUCCAGAGUGCUGGGAUUACAGGUGUGUGCUACUACACCUGGCCACACCUUGUUUCUCUUUUCUUUUUCUUAUUUUAUUUUAUUUUUUACCAGUACCAGGGAUCGAACUCACAACUGCCUGCUUGCAAGGCAGGCGCUUAUGCCACUGAGCUAAAUCCCCAGCCCCUUGCAAAUUGUUUCUAAAAGAAAAAAAUUUAACUUUUAAAGAUCUAUUUUGUCCUCGCUGCCACACUAGGUAUUUAUUAAAAGAAAUAAAAACUUAAGUUCACACAAAAAUCUGUAUGCAAAUGCUUAUAGUAAUUUCAUUAUAUAAUUUUUUUCAACUAGAGGAUAGGGCUAGGAGUGUAGUUCUAUAUGUGUGAGUCCCUGGGUUCUACCACUAACACAAAAAUAACAUUUAAAAAAAAAAAACCCCACACUGUGCCUAUACAAAUGAAUACUACUUAAAGUAACAAGAAAUGAACUCUGUGUUGAUACAACAGCAUGGCAAGUCUUACAGGCAUUAUGUUGAAUCAAAAGCCAGUCACUAUUAUGUGAUGAAAUUCUUGACAUGACAAAACUAUGAGGGGCUGGGGAUUUAGCUCAGCGGCAUAAGCGCCUGCCUUGCAAGCAGGCAGUCAUGAGUUUGAUCCCCAGUACUGAUUUUAAAAAAAAGGAAAAAGACAAAAAAAACUAUAGGGAACAGAAAAGAGAUUAGUAGUUGUCUGGAAGUAGUAGAAUUGAACUGCAAAAUGUUGUGGAAAAAUUUCUUGGGGUUGUAGAACUGUUGUAUGCUGAUAACAUGACUGCAUAAUUGCAUAUUUCUAUAAUGGUGAUUAAUGAUAAUAGGGUAUUCGGUAAAGCUUAUGGAACUAUAUACACAAAAAAUGGACUUAAAGUUAGAAUACUAUGGAAAAUUCCACCCCACCCCACCCCCAAAAAAAACCUGGUAAGUGAAGAAUAACUUAAUUGUUGAUACAGACUGAAAAUUGCUAACUGGUACACUUAAUUUGGCCAAAUCAUUACUGACACUAAAUUUGACUAAAUACUUGAAUUGUCGUGCUAAAUAAAUAGGACUCAAGUAUAAGUUGUUAAUAAGAGACAUGUUCUAUUUGCUGUUUAUUUACUUAUUGAAGAGAUGGGAUCCCAGCAUGUUGUCCAGGUCGGUCCCAAACUCCUGGACUCAAAUAGUUCUAUUCAGCCUCUUAAAUAGCUGGUACUACAGGAUAGCACCACCAUCCUGGUUACACUUAGAGGAUACCGAGAAGUUAUAUUCAAAAAAUAAAAAAGGUUAAAGAUGCACUGAUUAUAAAAAAGGUGUAUGUGUCUGUAUGAUGGACUAAGUUAAGAUGAAUAUCAGUAACUGAUUAUAUGACAUGUGUGUGUCUGUGUGAUGGACUAAGUUAAAAUGAAUAUUGAUAGCAAAAGGGAGGGAAAUUUGAGCCAGGAAUGUAGCUCAGCGGCACAGCACCUACCAACCAAGCCUGAGAUCAUAAAUUCAGUCCCUAGUACAAGGGGGGGGGGGAUUUCAAAAUUGAAUCAAAUUACAAAUUCUUCAUAUCAGCCCUUAAUACUUGUACACUCACUCUAUUAACAGCUUGAAAAUAUGUGAAGCAAAAAGGACCAUUUCCAAACUUUCUUUGAAGGCAACAUAAGAAAGCCUGACAAAAAAAUUAUAAAAGGAAGAAAAGCAGAUGUGUUCGUAAAUCACUUUGAUAAAGACAGAAGAUAAGACUAUGCAGCCAAGGAUGGAGAGGCCAUCAACAAAAAACUACAUAAGAAACAUACUGUGCAGAGAGGUGAUCAGAAAUUGAGUUUUUGCUGGAGAUUCAGCUCAGUGGCAUAAGCGCCUGCCUGGCAAGUGUGAAGUCGUGAGUUAAUCCCCAGCACCACAAAAAAAAAAAAAAGAAAAGAAAUUGAGUUUUUAGUAUGUUUACCUUGAGUUUUCUAUUAGAGAUACUUCAGAUACAAGAGUUUGGCCUUCUGAAUGAACUUUAGGUUAGAGUCAGAAAUUUGGAAGUGGCAAUGUUAAAGUCUUAAGAUUGUGAGAUAAAAUGAUGUCACUAAAGGUAAAAGAACUCUUAAAAUUAGUUCUCAAACUCUUAACUUCCUAUGUUUACACUCAAGUACAUUUGAUAUUUGGCCUUAUUUAGCAAAGAUAGCUUUGAAAACACAUGAUUGCUACUUGGUUGAUGCUUUCCUUCUCAGAGAGUAUUUCCUCCCCACAGAACAAACUCCUGGUCAUCCUGUAAAACCUUCCCCAGAAUCAUCUCUAUUCUAGUACUAUUUUAGUAUGUGGUAUACACAUGCUGUUACUAGCACGUUAUACAGAGUAUGUGUGCAUUUUAGAUCAGGUAUUCAAAUAUUUUUAUUGAAAGAAAUGAUGUAUGCUUUGAGUAGGGAUCUCAUAAAAACUGCAGAAAAAUUUAAGAGUUACAGAGUACUUUUUUGGUUUUUGAACUUGAAAUUCUCCUGUCUCAACCUGUCAAGUUCAGAGAUUACAGGUGUAUGCCACCAUACCCAGCUAGAUUUACAGAAUUUUUAAAAAAAUAGAUUGUCUUUUCUGAUAUUUUUGAUGAUUUUGCUUUUUUGAAACAGGAUCUCCUUAUGUGUUCACGGUGGUCUCAAACUCAGUAGCUAUCAGGGAUCUGGCCAAGAUCCCCAACUGUCUGUUUGAGGGGUACAGCGAAGGAUAAAAUAAGAAACAGAGGGGCUGGGGAUUUAGCUCAGCAGCAUAAGCGCCUGCCUUGUAAGCAGGCAGUCGUGAGUUCAAUCCCUGGUACUGAUAAAAACGAAAAAGACAAAAAAAAAAAAAAAAAAAAAGAAA